UACGUAGGUGGCAAGCGUUAUCCGGAUUUAUUGGGCGUAAAGGGAACGCAGGCGGUCUUUUAAGUCUGAUGUGAAAGCCUUCGGCUUAACCGGAGUAGUGCAUUGGAAACUGGGAGACUUGAGUGCAGAAGAGGAGAGUGGAACUCCAUGUGUAGCGGUGAAAUGCGUAGAUAUACGGAAGAACACCAGUGGCGAAAGCGGCUCUCUGGUCUGUAACUGACGCUGAGGUUCGAAAGCGUGGGGAGCAAACAGG
rnacentral:rRNA from 1 species